rnacentral:rRNA from 1 species
UGGGGAAUAUUGCGCAAUGGGGGGAACCCUGACGCAGCAAUGCCGCGUGAAGGAUGAAGGUUUUCGGAUUGUAAACUUCUUUUACUGAGGACGAAGAAUGACGGUACUCAGAGAAUAAGCCACGGCUAACUACGUGCCAGCAGCCGCGGUAAUACGUAGGUGGCAAGCGUUAUCCGGAUUUACUGGGUGUAAAGGGCGAGUAGGCGGGAUAGCAAGUCAGAUGUGAAAUACCGGGGCUCAACCCCGGAGCUGCAUUUGAAACUGUUAUUCUUGAGUGGUGGAGAGGCAAGUGGAAUUCCCGGUGUAGCGGUGGAAUGCGUAGAUAUCGGGAGGAACACCAGUGGCGAAGGCGACUUGCUGGACACUAACUGACGCUGAGGAGCGAAAGCGUGGGGAGCAAACAGG